rnacentral:lncRNA from 1 species
UAUAUCUCUAUAAUAUUAUUUGACAAGUCAGUUUCCUAUGUGUCGCUCUCGCGUUAAUUCUUACGGCGGUUGAUUACAGAGAUACCCUUAAUAAACUAAAAAUAUUAUAUCUAAUUGCCAUUAUUAAAUUUUUAUUUAUUUUUAAUUUAGUUUUCCUUUCCUUUAUUAUCAUUCCAAAUAAUAUAUAUAAUAAAAGUAAGCAUUAAUUAAACUAUAAAUUUUUAAAAAUGAAAUAUGUAUCAAGAAUAAUUUGAUUUCAUAAAGAAGGAAAGUUCACAAUAAAAAAAAAGGAAAAUAAAUAUUUUAAAAACGAAAAUAUAUCACAUACAAAAUUUGAUUUCAUAAAAAAGGAAAGUUCACAAAAAUAAUCAUAAUAUUAGAAAUAUAUUUCUUUUAAAACAUAAUCUUAAAUAACAUAAUAUAUAUUUUAAAAGUAAUAAAAAUCUAAUUAUAAGAAUAAUUUUAGUAAUAACAACAAAAAAGUAGAUGUAAUAUAAUAUACCCAAAUAAUAAUCAAACCGACU